AGGAGGUUGGGGUGACUGCGCUGCUCCUUCAAGGGGUGGAAUGACUGCGCUGCUCUCUCAAAAGGGGCACUGGGAUCUCCGUUCUUUGUCCUGCAUUGUUAGUUUUCCUAUUUUGUGCGAUAAUCAUUAAGGCAGUAGAUACUUCAUAUUGGUAACAUAUGGAAUACGGGUCGUGUGCUGCGCUGGUGAGGACCUUAUCCCUCAUCA
rnacentral:lncRNA from 1 species